rnacentral:lncRNA from 1 species
GAUAAUAUAGAGAGAGAAAACUUCAGUUUCUGGUGUGAUUUUCAAUUCUAACCUAAGCACCUAUUUAUAGGAAAUUGCUUAGAACACCAAAGCAGAAAAUUUAAUAUAAUAAUAUAUUUAUAAAAAAAUUUCUACGCCAUCCUUUGGGAAUCUGAAAUCAGCCACCUAGCAUGUGAUUAAUGAGGCUCACAACAUAUAAAAAACGUUUUUGUUAUUUUAAACAAUUAAAACUUCCAAAAAUCAA